rnacentral:rRNA from 1 species
UGGGGAAUAUUGGACAAUGGGGGCAACCCUGAUCCAGCAAUGCCGCGUGUGUGAAGAAGGUCUUCGGAUUGUAAAGCACUUUCGACGGGGACGAUGAUGACGGUACCCGUAGAAGAAGCCCCGGCUAACUUCGUGCCAGCAGCCGCGGUAAUACGAAGGGGGCUAGCGUUGCUCGGAAUGACUGGGCGUAAAGGGCGUGUAGGCGGUUUACACAGUCAGAUGUGAAAUCCCCGGGCUUAACCUGGGAGCUGCAUUUGAUACGUGUAGACUAGAGUGUGAGAGAGGGUUGUGGAAUUCCCAGUGUAGAGGUGAAAUUCGUAGAUAUUGGGAAGAACACCGGUGGCGAAGGCGGCAACCUGGCUCAUGACUGACGCUGAGGCGCGAAAGCGUGGGGAGCAAACAGGAUUAGAUACCCUGGUAGUCCACGCCUGUAAACGAUGUGUGCUAGAUGUUGGGUACUUU